rnacentral:rRNA from 1 species
UACGGAGGGUGCAAGCGUUAUUCGGAAUGACUGGGCGUAAAGAGCACGUAGGCGGCUUACUAAGUCUGAUGUGAAAUCCCUGGACUCAAUCUAGGACGUGCAUUGGAUACUGGUAGGCUAGAGUAUAGGAGGGGAGAGCGGAAUUCCUGGUGUAGAGGUGAAAUUCGUAGAUAUCAGGAGGAACAACAGUGGCGAAGGCGGCUCUCUGGACUAUAACUGACGCUGAGGUGCGAAAGCGUGGGGAGCAAACAGG